rnacentral:rRNA from 1 species
AGAGUUUGAUCAUGGCUCAGAGCGAACGCUGGCGGCGUGCUUAACACAUGCAAGUCGAGUGCGCGUUUCCGUAGCAAUACGGAGAUGGCGCACGGCGCACGGGUGCGUAACACGUGGGUAAUCUGCCCUCUGAUGGGGAAUAACCCGCCGAAAGGCGGGCUAAUUCCGCAUAACAUUCCUUGGACUCCGGUUCGAGGAUUCAAAGGCGUAAGUCGUCGGAGGUGGAGCCCGCGCACGAUUAGCUAGUUGGUGAGGUAAUGGCUCACCAAGGCUUUGAUCGUUAGCUGGUCUGAGAGGAUGGCCAGCCACACUGGAACUGAGACACGGUCCAGACUCCUACGGGAGGCAGCAGUGGGGAAUCUUGCACAAUGGGCGAAAGCCUGAUGCAGCGACGCCGCGUGGGGGAUGAAGCUUCUCGGAGUGUAAACCCCUUUCGACCGGGACGAAUACCUCGCAAGAGGAGUGACGGUACCGGUAUAAGAAGCCCCGGCUAACUACGUGCCAGCAGCCGCGGUAAGACGUAGGGGGCCAGCGUUGCUCGGAAUUACUGGGUGUAAAGGGUUCGUAGGCGGUGUGGCAAGUCGGGAGUGAAAUCUCUGGGCUUAACUCAGGGGCUGCUUCCGAAACUGCCGUGCUAGAGUGUGGGAGAGGCGCGUGGAAUUGCAGGUGUAGCGGUGAAAUGCGUAGAUAUCUGCAGGAACACCCGUGGCGAAAGCGGCGCGCUGGACCACUACUGACGCUGAGGAACGAAAGCUAGGGGAGCAAACAGGAUUAGAUACCCUAGUAGUCC